GCCCCAGGUCCGUAGGGUAUCAGCGUGCGAACCGCGUCAGGGCCUAGCGGCAGCAGCGCUAAGCAAUGUCUGAUAUCGCUUCGGGUCGCCUGGGGCACU
rnacentral:SRP_RNA from 2 species